rnacentral:rRNA from 1 species
GAAUUCGCCCUUAGAGUUUGAUCCUGGCUCAGGACGAACGCUGGCGGCGCGCCUAACACAUGCAAGUCGAACGAGCGAGAGAGAGCUUGCUUUCUCAAGCGAGUGGCGAACGGGUGAGUAACGCGCGAGGAACCUGCCUCAAAGAGGGGGACAACAGUUGGAAACGACUGCUAAUACCGCAUAAGCCCACAGCUCGGCAUCGAGCAGAGGGAAAAGGAGCAAUCCGCUUUGAGAUGGCCUCGCGUCCGAUUAGCUAGUUGGUGAGGUAAUGGCCCACCAAGGCAACGAUCGGUAGCCGGACUGAGAGGUUGAACGGCCACAUUGGGACUGAGACACGGCCCAGACUCCUACGGGAGGCAGCAGUGGGGAAUAUUGCACAAUGGGGGAAACCCUGAUGCAGCGACGCCGCGUGGAGGAAGAAGGUCUUCGGAUUGUAAACUCCUGUUGUUGAGGAAGAUAAUGACGGUACUCAACAAGGAAGUGACGGCUAACUACGUGCCAGCAGCCGCGGUAAAACGUAGGUCACAAGCGUUGUCCGGAAUUACUGGGUGUAAAGGGAGCGCAGGCGGGAAGACAAGUUGGAAGUGAAAUCUAUGGGCUCAACCCAUAAACUGCUUUCAAAACUGUUUUUCUUGAGUAGUGCAGAGGUAGGCGGAAUUCCCGGUGUAGCGGUGGAAUGCGUAGAUAUCGGGAGGAACACCAGUGGCGAAGGCGGCCUACUGGGCACCAACUGACGCUGAGGCUCGAAAGUGUGGGUAGCAAACAGGAUUAGAUACCCUGGUAGUCCACACCGUAAACGAUGAUUACAAGGUGUUGGGAGGAUGACCCCUUUCAGUGCCGCAGUUUAACACAAUAAG